GACGAACGCUGGCGGCGUGCCUAAUACAUGCAAGUCGAGCGCAGGAAAUCGACGGAACCCUUCGGGGGGAAGUCGAUGGAAUGAGCGGCGGACGGGUGAGUAACACGUAAAGAACCUGCCCUCAGGUCUGGGAUAACCACGAGAAAUCGGGGCUAAUACCGGAUGGGUCAUCGGACCGCAUGGUCCGAGGGUGAAAGGCGCUUCGGCGUCGCCUGGGGAUGGCUUUGCGGUGCAUUAGCUAGUUGGUGGGGUAAUGGCCCACCAAGGCGACGAUGCAUAGGCGACCUGAGAGGGUGAUCGGCCACACUGGGACUGAGACACGGCCCAGACUCCUACGGGAGGCAGCAGUAGGGAAUCUUCCACAAUGGACGAAAGUCUGAUGGAGCAACGCCGCGUGGACGAUGAAGGCCUUCGGGUCGUAAAGUUCUGUUGUAAGGGAAGAACAAGUGCCGCAGGCAAUGGCGGCACCUUGACGGUACCUUGCGAGAAAGCCACGGCUAACUACGUGCCAGCAGCCGCCGUAACAC
rnacentral:rRNA from 1 species